rnacentral:rRNA from 1 species
GACGAACGCUGGCGGCGUGCUUAACACAUGCAAGUCGAACGGAAAGGCCCUGCUUUUGUGGGGUGCUCGAGUGGCGAACGGGUGAGUAACACGUGAGUAACCUGCCCUUGACUUUGUGAUAACUUCAGGAAACUGGGGCUAAUACCGGAUAGGAGCUCCUGCUGCAUGGUGGGGGUUGGAAAGUUUCGGCGGUUGGGGAUGGACUCGCGGCUUAUGAGCUUGUUGGUGGGGUAGUGGCUUACCAAGGCGUGGACGGGUAGCCGGCCUGAGAGGGUGAUCGGGCACAAUGGAAGUGAGACAGGGGCAAGAGUCCGAAGGGAGGGAGCAGGGGGGAAUGUGGGACAAUGGGCGAGAGGCUGAUCCAGCCAUGCCGCGUGUGAGAAGAAGGUCUUCGGAUUGGAAAGCACGUUAAGUUGGGAGGAAGGGCAGUAAGUUAAUACCUUGCGGUGGUGACGUGAGCAACAGAAUAAGGACCGGCUAACUUAGUG